UUUCGCAAUGCCCGAAAGGGUGACGAAGCGACGCCGCGUGGGUGAGGAAGGCCUUCGGGUUGUAAAGCCCUGUCAGGAGUUAAGAAAUGUAGGUUCGCUAAUAUCGUGCCUAUUUGACAAAGGCUCCAAAGGAAGCCACGGCUAACUCUGUGCCAGCAGCCGCGGUAAUACAGAGGUGGCAAGCGUUGUUCGGAAUUAUUGGGCGUAAAGAGCACGUAGGUGGAUUUGUAAGUCAGAUGUGAAAGCCUUCUGUUCAACGGGAGAAUUGCAUCUGAAACUAUAAACCUUGAGUGUAGGAGGGGAGAAUGGGACUUCUGGUGGAGCGGUGAGAUGCGUAGAUAUCAGAAGGAACGCCGGCGGCGAAAGCGAUUCUCUGGCCUAUUACUGACACUCAGUGUGCGAAAGCUAGGGGAGCAAACGGGAUUAGAUACCCCGGUAGUCCUAGCCGUAGACGAUGGGCACUAAGUAGAGGGGUUU
rnacentral:rRNA from 1 species